UUGCAGCAGUUUUGGUUUCGCUUCUCUUGUUAAAUCCGCCAGAGGGCCGCAUCCGGUGUUACUAUCGCAACAACGCCAGUCGCUCCGGUCUCUGCCAUGGCGUCGUCGUCGGACGCAACUGCGCCGCGCGGAAAGCGUUCUGCUCGAAAGUAUUCUUCACCCGCACCUGAUUUUAGUGACGAGGAUUCGAGCUUCGAGUCCGAAGAUGACAGUACUUCUGCUUCAAGCUCUGACGGCGACGAUGUUUCGAGUCAGCUCGGGACAUCCGCAGCUGCUCACCGGGUCCGUACGUCGCUAGGCCAGGAUGUGCUGCCACCGGCUGUGAAGAAACUUCAGUUCACGCCAACAAGGCCGCCCGGAGCACAUCUCGGCCCAGCACUUCGGAGCAGCGCAAGACGCUUUACAACGGCGCGCGAUUUUUUCCUCCUGUUCUUCACCGCAGAAGUAAUAAAUACUAUCUGCAAGAACACGAAUAAAUAUGCUUGGAUGCAUAUUUUGGAGCUUCCAAGCUAUGCUGAAAGAGAUGGGUCGUGGAAGGAAGUGACUCCCGACGAAUUAGUGAAGUUCAUUGGACUGCUCAUUUAUAGGAAAGGAAAGAGAAGGAAAGAAGAGAAGAGGCGGCGUGUGGACUAUCAUCCCAAUCGAAAAGCCGGUGCUGAUUGACGACUAUAAUUCCGGGAUGCUUGGAGUUGAUAAGUCGGAUCAGCUGAUUGCAUCCUAUAACGUUUUGAUGAAGUGCGUGAGGUGGUGGAAGACGCUCUUCUUUCAUUGUAUUGACAUGGCUGUUGUGAAUAGCUUCAUUCUUUUUCAAGAGCACCGCCAGCAACACCUCUCAACACCGGAAUUGCAGAGGAGCGCCCACUUCGACCAACUUUCUUUUCGGAUGGAGCUCACCCAACAGCUGCUCGAGCUUGAUGAUGAAGAGGUUCCCAGAGUGCAUCCUGUCCCAAAAGAAGUGCCGCACCAUCCGCAAAAGAUGCCGAAAAGGCGAAACUGAAGGAUGUGCUAUCAGGAACGCAAAAUCGAACAAAAGACAAACGUUUUCUGCGAAAACUGCGAAGUGCACCUGUGCCUCACGAAAACGCGCAUCUGCUUCACCGCAUGGCACGAGCGCUGAAGCUGUUCCCGGUCUUUACUUUUUUUUAUGUAGCUGAAGAACGGCGCGGUACAGAGAAUUAAUUUUUAUAGACAGUAUUCCUGAGUCAUUGAUCUUCAAAAUGUAUAUUCUAAAUUUUCUUUCUUAAUAAUGUGUAUGUAGAUAUUGUGCCUUUUCUUUCUUGUUUUUAUCAACUCGCCACAAAAAUGGCACUUUUCCGAAUUUUUUGUAUGUUCCCUAAUAAAUUGUUUGCUUUGUAACUUA